rnacentral:rRNA from 1 species
UACGAAGGGGGCUAGCGUUGCUCGGAAUUACUGGGCGUAAAGGGAGCGUAGGCGGACAUUUAAGUCAGGGGUGAAAUCCCAGAGCUCAACUCUGGAACUGCCUUUGAUACUGGGUGUCUUGAGUAUGAUAGAGGUAUGUGGAACUCCGGGUGUAGAGGUGAAAUUCGUAGAUAUUCGGAAGAACACCAGUGGCGAAGGCGACAUACUGGAUCAUUACUGACGCUGAGGCUCGAAAGCGUGGGGAGCAAACAGG